rnacentral:rRNA from 1 species
AUUGAACGCUGGCGGCAGGCCUAACACAUGCAAGUCGAGCGGAUGAAGGGAGCUUGCUCCUGGAUUCAGCGGCGGACGGGUGUGUAAUGCCUAGGAAUCUGCCUGGUAGUGGGGGAUAACGUCCGGAAACGGGCGCUAAUACCGCAUACGUCCUGAGGGAGAAAGUGGGGGAUCUUCGGACCUCACGCUAUCAGAUGAGCCUAGGUCGGAUUAGCUAGUUGGUGGGGUAAAGGCCUACCAAGGCGACGAUCCGUAACUGGUCUGAGAGGAUGAUCAGUCACACUGGAACUGAGACACGGUACAGACUACUAUGGGAGGCAGCAGUGGGGAAUAUUGGACAAUGGGCGAAAGCCUGAUCCAGCCAUGCCGCGUGUGUGAAGAAGGUCUUCGGAUUGUAAAGCACUUUAAGUUGGGAGGUAGGGCAGUAAGUUAAUACCUUGCUGUUUUGACGUUACCAACAGAAUAAGCACCGGCUAACUUCGUG